GACGAACGCUGGCGGCGUGCCUAAUACAUGCAAGUCGAGCGAGACUCUUCGGAGUCUAGCGGCGGACGGGUGAGUAACACGUGGGCAACCUGCCUGUAAGACUGGGAUAACACCGGGAAACCGGUGCUAAUACCGGAUAAUCCUUUUCCUCUCAUGAGGAAAAGCUGAAAGACGGUUUCGGCUGUCACUUACAGAUGGGCCCGCGGCGCAUUAGCUAGUUGGUGAGGUAACGGCUCACCAAGGCGACGAUGCGUAGCCGACCUGAGAGGGUGGUCGGCCACACUGGGACUGAGACACGGCCCAGACUCCUACGGGAGGCAGAAGUAGGGAAUCUUCCACAAUGGACGAAAGUCUGAUGGAGCAACGCCGCGUGAGCGAUGAAGGCCUUCGGGUCGUAAAGCUCUGUUGUUAGGGAAGAACAAGUACCGGAGUAACUGCCGGUACCCUGACGGUACCUAACCAGAAAGCCACGGCUAACUACGUGCCAGCCGCCGCAGUAACAC
rnacentral:rRNA from 1 species